GGUGAACGCUGACCGAAUGCUUAACACAUGCAAGUCAACUUGAAUUUGGGUUUUUAACUUAGGUUUGGGUGGCGGACGGGUGAGUAACGCGUAAAGAACUUGCCUCACAGCUAGGGACAACAUUUGGAAACGAAUGCUAAUACCUAAUAUUAUGAUAAUAGGGCAUCCUAUAAUUAUGAAAGCUAUAAGCGCUGUGAGAGAGCUUUGCGUCCCAUUAGCUAGUUGGAGAGGUAACGGCUCACCAAGGCGAUGAUGGGUAGCCGGCCUGAGAGGGUGAUCGGCCACAAGGGGACUGAGACACGGCCCUUACUCCUACGGGCGGCAGCAGUGGGGAAUAUUGGACAAUGGACCGAGAGUCUGAUCCAGCAAUUCUGUGUGCACGAUGAAGUUUUUCGGAAUGUAAAGUGCUUUCAGUUGGGAAGAAACAAAUGACGGUACCAACAGAAGAAGUGACGGCUAAAUACGUG
rnacentral:rRNA from 1 species